CCUACGGGAGGCAGCAGUCGAGAAUCAUUCACAAUGGGGGAAACCCUGAUGCUGCGACGCCGCGUGGGGGAAUGAAGGUCUUCGGAUUGUAAACCCCUGUCAUGUGGGAGCAAAUUAAAAAGAUAGUACCACAAGAGGAAGAGACGGCUAACGCUGUGCCAGCAGCCGCGGUAAUACAGAGGUCUCAAGCGUUGUUCGGAAUCACUGGGCGUAAGGCGUGCGUAGGCUGUUUCGUAAGUCGUGUGUGAAAGGCGCGGGCUCAACCCGCGGACGGCACAUGAUACUGCGAGACUAGAGUAAUGGAGGGGGAACCGGAAUUCUCGGUGUAGCAGUGAAAUGCGUAGAUAUCGAGAGGAACACUCGUGGCGAAGGCGGGUUCCUGGACAUUAACUGACGCUGAGGCACGAAGGCCAGGGGAGCGAAAGGGAUUAGAUACCCGUGUAGUC
rnacentral:rRNA from 1 species